rnacentral:rRNA from 1 species
AUUGAACGCUAGCGGGAUGCCUUACACAUGCAAGUCGAACGGAGUGGCGUACGGGUGAGUAAUGUAUCGGAACGUGCCCAGUCGCGGGGGAUAACUACGCGAAAGCGUAGCUAAUACCGCAUACUAUUUGAGCGGCCGAUAUCGGAUUAGCUGGUUGGUGGGGUAACGGCUCACCAAGGCGACGACCCGUAGCUGGUUUGAGAGGCCGACCAGCCACACUGGGACUGAGACACGGCCCAGACUCCUACGGGAGGCAGCAGAGGGAAAUUUUGGACAAUGGGGGAAGCCCUGACCCAGCCAGCCGGGGUGUGGGAGGAGGGCCUUGGGGUGGUAAAGCACGUUUGGCAGGAAAGCGGUACCUGCAGAAUAAGCACCGGCUAACUACGUGCCAGCAGCCGCGGUAAUAC